AGCGAACGCUGGCGGCAGGCCUAACACAUGCAAGUCGAACGGCAGCACAGGAGAGCUUGCUCUCUGGGUGGCGAGUGGCGGACGGGUGAGGAAUACAUCGGAAUCUACUCUGUCGUGGGGGAUAACGUAGGGAAACUUACGCUAAUACCGCAUACGACCUACGGGUGAAAGCAGGGGACCUUCGGGCCUUGCGCGAUUGAAUGAGCCGAUGUCGGAUUAGCUAGUUGGCGGGGUAAAGGCCCACCAAGGCGACGAUCCGUAGCUGGUCUGAGAGGAUGAUCAGCCACACUGGAACUGAGACACGGUCCAGACUCCUACGGGAGGCAGCAGUGGGGAAUAUUGGACAAUGGGCGCAAGCCUGAUCCAGCCAUACCGCGUGGGUGAAGAAGGCCUUCGGGUUGUAAAGCCCUUUUGUUGGGAAAGAAAUCCAGCUGGCUAAUACCCGGUUGGGAUGACGGUACCCAAAGAAUAAGCACCGGCUAACUUCGUGCCAGCAGCCGCCGUAA
rnacentral:rRNA from 1 species